UUAUUAAUUUAGUCUAUUUCAUUCCUUUUUACGUUUACCGUCUAAUGCGUAUAAUACUAGGUUGUCUACUUGCUACCAAUAAGUCAUUUUAUAACAUUACAAUCAAACAAUAAUUCUUCUUCAAAAUAAUUCGCUUCUGAUAGUUUUCAUCCAUCUUUCUGCCAAUUGUUCAAUCCCCAUUUGGAUGUCAAACGUCAUACAGAAUUUUAAUGUCAAAAAUUCGAGCAUUAAAUGACAAAGAAUUUUAAUGUCAAAAAUUCAGGCUUCAAGUGUCUGUGAACUUAUGAGACAACCCAGUAUAUGCGUAUAAUACUAGGUUGUCUAGUUGCUACCAAUAAGUCAUUUUAUAACAUUACAAUCAAACAAUAAUUAUUCUGCAAAGUAAUUCGCUUCUGAUAGUUUUCAUCCAUCUUUCUGCCAAUUGUUCAAUCCCCAUUUGGAUGUCAAACGUCAUACAGAAUUUUAAUGUCAAAAAUUCAAGCAUUAAAUGUCAUAAAGGAUUUUAAUGUCAAAAAUUCAGGCUUCAAGUGUCUGCGAACUUAUGAGACAACCCAGUAUAUGCGUAUAACAAGGUAUCGAGGAAAUACAAAAAAUAAAGCAAAAUAAUUUGUGUACGCGAUACGGUAUACUUUUUAUAAUAGCGAAAAGCGACCGGUUAAGGUGUCUGCACAAUUUAUUUUCGAAGCGGAGCGACUUUCAAAUUCGACCUUUGAAAGCCGAUGCAAUAAUAGAACGGUAUAUAAACCGAGACGCGCGUUUAGUGCCAACUGCGAGUAAUGUUCGAGUACAUGUUUAAUGUCGUGCGUUGCGUUAAACGAUAGAGAAUUGGGUCGAAGCGGAACGAGCGCAUAAUUUGUACGACGAAGUCGCCGUGUAUCGAGGAAUUCGUGUCGUCGUGGAGGUUGCGAUGCGCGAAAAAUCAUUUCUGCCUCGGAGUAUCUGAAACGCAGGAAACACGGUGACUUAACCCUCCGUACCCUCUGUGGUGUGUAUAGAGGGCGGAAGUACCGUAACGGCAACCGACGUCAGCAGUACCACUACAUCUUCGAGAUCUUAAGUACACAAACCCCGUUACAUAGAAACCCCGCGAAACGACGAGAAAGAAGAAAGGAAGAGAAAUAGAAAAACGGAGAAGCCGCACAAGUUUCGAUCGCAUCGUAACGAUUUGGAGUAAUCGUCGGUAGUCGGGGCUCGAGAAGCGUGUACGAGAUUGAAAUCGCAAGGAUUAUAUUCGGUCUCCCCGGUACAUAGAUAGCACACUGGGCCAGUCAAUCGAUAGAUUAGAAUUUUCAUUUACCGUGAGUCGACGGAUGCACCGUAAGCGAAUACUUUAUCGGACAUCGAUGACACAGGUUGAUUCGACGGUUAAGCAAUCUUGCGAGCGAUAAAAAAAAAAAAUAUCCAAAGGCUGCCGAUAGGUUUCCGAUUCGGUUGAUCACAGAGCACGGGGUACAGGCGUCAUAGUCGAUGGGAUCGAAAAAUCACUGCCGGCACUCGGUCAGUCAAUCGAUAGCGCGGAAUUAGUAUAACCGUGUUUGCACGGCUGACACGAACCCAACGAACGUUGAUGCGUAUCGGUCGAUGCGAAACAUGCCAGAACGAAUUUCGGUUCGGCUCUCGACUCGGACGAUGCGACUCGGCGACGCGUCAGCUCGUAGAAAUUGGUCGAUCGACGGCCACGAAGAAAUCAGGUUGUAUCUUCUCGCGAUCCGUCCACGAUAAUGCCGCAAAGGGGUCACGAUGAUUACUGACUGCGAGCGUCGCGACGUUAUCCCGCGGACGGGCGCAUGCGCGGCGACGACCCCUUUUUACCACCGCUUGCUCCAACAUCCCUUACGCGAAUUUCUUUUUCCCCGGUGAAGGUGCAAUUCUACCGUACGGUUGACGUAUCGUCGCAGCGAUUCUCAACUCGCCGAUCAAUUCACCCUUAGGACCGAAUAAACAACAGAACCGAAUAACCUCGCAUCCUAAUUGUAUCGUUAUCGACCCUUCGUCGCUCGAUUAUUCUAAUUACGCAUCUACCCGGGGACUUUCGAAACUAAUUGCGUGUGGAUUUCUAUCCUAGGUAGGAUUUUUUAUUCAAAGGAUUUAAUCGGUGAAAUGUCUUUGAACGACAAGUUUUUAACAUUGAAUUAAAUCAACUUUAUUUCGUUACAGUUACGUGAGAUCGGUAUAACGCAAAUUUUGCGACAGUGUAUGGCGCGCGAUGCAAUGCGACGAAUAAACUUGGUGUCUGUUUUACAUAACAAAACAGUGACGAAUCAAACAACGAAAAGACACUGCAAUUCGUCGCAAUUGAAACGGCAAUUUAUCAAUAGAGUAUUAGAUGAAAGGACCAAGUUUUAUCAUCGGAGAAGUUUCGCUCGCUCGGCGCGUCGUAAAUACGAAUAAUAAAACGGAAACGAAAGAGUAUCGGUACGCUAUUAUCCGAAUGGAAAGCGAACAGACUUCGCGGCGUCGUAUUUCCCUUUCGCGAGCUUUACGAGACGAGCUACAUACGCGCAUUCCGGAGCACGAUUUCAGCUUGACCCUCGUUUCCUGGUAAACAACCGAUUAAACGGGAAAUUUAUUUUUAUCUUGCCGCUAGGUGACGUAAAGACGUCGUUAUAAAUAGUUCCAUAAGUAUCCUAUAAUUACGUCACGUCGACGAAACCUUUGAAAUUCCCUUCUUCGACCCAUAACACACGGUUCAGUGGGCAAUUGCAAGUGGAUUUUCGUGAAGCGUGAACAACCCCUCGAGCUUUCCUGUUCUUUGAAAUGCACCCCUCUAUAUAUACAUAUACAGACGUAUGUACGAGACGUUCCGGAAUUACUUUGUACUUUACCUAUUAUAUCAUCGGAAUUAUGUGCGACGUGUGCUUCUUCGAAUCGCGUGCGAACAUGCUCGAAAGUAUUUUGCACCGUGAACGUGUCUGCAUGGCCGUGCGGAUUAUGCCAAGUGUUUUUUUUUUUUUUGCGCGUGCGUUACGCGCUCCGAUUUCGUUCGCGAUAAGAAUAAAUGCCAAAUAUGCCGAUUAAAUUUCCUGUACAGAGAUAACGGUCUAUAUUCGGAGCGAUCAAUUGACAGUAACGAGGCCUCUUUCGUUCGCGAAGCACCGCCGAUUCCGGAUGCAAAUUUCCCGACGGUAAAAAGAUCCAGGUGAAUAACGAGAGUGGUCGAUUCAUCGAGUCGCGAUAACAUUGUACAACACGUACACGAAUCGUACAACACGUACAAUUUUUCUCCAGGAUAACAAAUUUAUUUAUUCAAAGUGUAACAGUCUUUAUAAAUAACUGGCUUAAGUUAAAUCGCAAAGUAAAGAUCGUUUUAUAUUA